GGGAGCCCUGCGGGGAGGUGGGGGCCAGGCCUUGUCUCUGUGACAGUGAACGUCCCUGUCCAUGUUGGUGUUUCUCAGACAAGCCACCUCCUUCCACCCCCACGGUGGUGCAAGGGGAGGCUUUAGUCCAGGAUAACAAAUUCUGAACCAGCUGCUGCGUCUGGAGCCCCUGAGGGCUUAUGCACUGGUGACCAGGGAGUUUCCUGGCUUAUCACAUCCGAGGCCGACUUUCGGGCUACAGAGGGGCGUGUGAGCCCCUGGAGUAGACAGAGGAACUGCUUCUCUGCCAGGCGCUGUGUUGAGGUGAGAGGGAGGGCAGGUCCUUCGGCUUCUGAAACAUGAAACAACCCCACACCUAGGGCAGGGUGUGCAAUGCCACCAUGGCCUGGAAGACCCAAGAAUGAUGAGUGCUGAGCACAGGCCAGGCCCGGGGCCGUCACGAGCAGAGCCGCUGGCCCGGCGUGCAGCUCUAGAAUUGGGCGCCACUCUGUACCAGGCGGCUGGGGCUAGACCCCACUCCCCGGCUGAUGCUGUCCUGCCCCAGGGAUGCCUGGCCAGGCUCUUGCUGUGUCCACUACGCUCCAUCCACACCCCUCCAUCACAUUUCACCAGGGGCCCGGGCCAGAGACGCAUCCGACAUCCCAUCUGGGAACAACGGCCUCAAAGAAUGGGGAGCAGCGAGGGCCGCCAGACACUGAGUCCUUCUGGAUCCUUCUGGCCAGGCUCCUUCCCUGGCAUCUGGGCUCGGUGGGGGUGGUCUGCCCCCGCAUUCCCGCAGACCCUGGCCCCUGGCAGGGCCCCCAGUCUCCACCUGCCCUGUUUCCUCCCCAGUGUAACUAUGCUGUAGAAAUAUAUUUUGGCCACGCCCUGCAUGAA